AACGUAGGUGGCGAGCGUUGUCCGGAUUUACUGGGCGUAAAGCGCGCGCAGGCGGCACUGUAAGUAAGGUGUGAAAUCUCCCUGCUCAACGCGGAGGGUGCAUUUUAGACUGCAGAGCUAGAGGACGGUAGAGGGGGGUGGAAUUGCUGGUGUAGCGGUGAAAUGCGUAGAGAUCAGCAGGAACACCCGUGGCGAAGGCGGCCCCCUGGGCCGAACCUGACGCUGAGGCGCGAAGGCUAGGGGAGCGAACGGG
rnacentral:rRNA from 1 species